UAUCACUCAUCAAAUUGAAAAGAGAUAGUAAAAACAAAAACCUCUGAGCUUUGGAGGAAAAUAAAAAUCACUAUCUUAAGCUUGUACAUGGAGGGGAGACCACUUUCCUGAAAGAGUAAACACCCCCCUUAAAAUAUCUUCCAGAAUUAGCAGAUACGGUUGGUGCUUCAUUGAGUCAAUAAGGAAACCCAUAGGAAAGGAGAUGACCCAUCAAAUUCAACGUGACACAAAAUCGUGUCCCGCUUCUAUUCUCAGAGCUUAAGCCACAUCAGCCCAAGAAAUUUUGCAGAAUCAAAGGUACUAAAUGCACAAAACUACUCUGAAAAACACGGGUCUAACAAUUAAUUGAUACCUGGUUGACAAGUAAACUGAAGAGAAAUAUUAGUAUCCAAGAAUCUUAUUUUCGUGGCAAAAAAAGGUCAUUGUUGAAGUCCUCAUAUUACAUUUCAAAUGAUAGACUGAACCUUUUGGCAGAAAAGAAAUCAGUAUGAGCUUAUAUCGAUCAUUUCUUCUUUUGCUUUGUUGCGUUUAUGUAGUUUUUUCUGGUGCCAAUGCGUCAGACACCAUUACCAGUAGUGAGCCCGUGCGGGACUCGGAAACUGUCUUUUCCAGUCGCAAAACAUUUAAACUGGGAUUUUUCAGUCCUGGGAAUUCUGCAAAUCGUUAUGUAGGGAUUAUGUUUAACCUACCAUCACCAACACCAACUGCUGUAUGGGUAGCUAACAGAGACAAGCCUAUAAAUGAUUCUAGCGGAUUACUCACACUAUCAGAAGAUGGCAAUCUUGUAAUCUUGAAUGGACAGAAGGAGAUAAUAUGGUCAUCCAGUAUUUCAAACUCUAUGAAGAAUUCUACUGCUCAACUCUUGGACACUGGCAACUUAGUCUUGAAAGACAGCUCAAAUGGGAAAGUUCUAUGGGAAAGCUUUCGAUAUCCUACAGAUUCUAUCUUACAGCACAUGAAAAUGGGAAUUGAUAAGAGUACUAACACAACAGCUCUCCUGAAAUCAUGGAGAAGUCCUGAUGAUCCAUCCGUUGGGAGCUUCUCAGCUGGAAUUCAACUUCAAUACAUUCCCCAGGCUUUUAUUUGGAAUAACACCGCUCCUUACUGGCGUAGUAGUCCAUGGGAUAAACAGAUCUAUAUUGGAUUACCAGAAAUGAAAUCUUCAUAUCACUCUGGUGUUGACCUUGUAGCUGAUAAUGCUGGCACCGCAUACCAAACUUAUUCCAAUGGAAAUCAGUCUUGGAUACUCUAUUAUUCCUUGAAUUCAACAGGGUCUUAUCAGGAGAAGGUUUGGGAUGAAAGUAAGAAGGAUUGGGUGGUAACAUGGGCAAAUCCCCGAAGUGAGUGUGAUAUUUAUGCUAAGUGCGGGGCAUUUGGAAGAUGUAAUCCAAAGAGCUCUCCAAUAUGCAGUUGCAUACAAGGUUUUAAGCCUAAAAAUGAAGGAGAAUGGGAGAAAGGAGAAUGGUCUGGUGGAUGCAUCAGAAGGACUGCAUUAGACUGUGAAAGGAACAAAACUGAUGUUGAGAAGGGCAAAAAGGAUGGGUUUUUGAAGAUGCAGACAAUGGGAGUACCAGAUUUUGUAAUUUGGGUAUCCUCUGCGAAAGAAGACUGUGAAAGUGACUGUUUAAGUAACUGUUCCUGCAAGGCAUAUUCAUACUACACAGGCAUUGGUUGUAUGCAUUGGAAUAGAAGCUUAGUUGAUAUUCAAGAAUACUCCAUGGAUGGGGCGGCUGAUUUGUUCAUUCGUCUUGCCUACUCCGAAAUUGCUGCAAAUGACAAGAAAGACUUCCCUGUAGCAGCUAUUGCAAUCACAGUUUCGAUAGGCUCAAUAAUAGUUAUCUUAUGUGGAUAUCUUUUCUGGAAAUUGUUGGCUAAGCACAGAGAAAGAAAGAGGAAAAGUGAAGCAUUCUUAAGAGAAGCAUCUCCAAAAUUUUACCAAGGCGGCAUGAUUAAAGAUGACAUCAAUCAAGUCAAAAUUGAAGAUAUCACCUUGUACAACUUUGACAUGUUAGCAAAUGCAACUGACAGAUUUCACUCAGCUAGCAAGCUGGGACAAGGAGGCUUUGGUCCAGUCUACAAAGGAAAAUUGCCAGAUGGACAAGAAAUUGCAGUAAAAAGGCUUUCACAGUCUUCUGGUCAGGGGCUACAGGAGUUUAUGAAUGAGGUAGUCGUGAUUUCUAGACUACAACAUCGUAAUCUUGUUAGACUCCUCGGCUGCUGCACAGAAAGAGGGGAAAAGAUGCUGGUGUAUGAUUUCAUGCCCAAUAGAAGCUUAGAUGCAUAUCUUUUUGGUUCACACCAGGAAAAGUUCCUUGAUUGGAGUAAACGAGCCAUCAUUAUUGAGGGAACUGGUCGAGGCCUCCUUUACCUUCACAGAGACUCAAGACUACGAAUUAUUCAUAGAGAUCUGAAGGCAAGCAACAUCCUGUUGGAUGAAUACCUAAACCCAAAAAUUUCGGAUUUUGGCAUGGCGAGGAUUUUUGGAGGCAAUCAAGACCAGGCACGCACUAUAAGAGUUGUUGGCACAUAUGGUUACAUGUCCCCUGAAUAUGCAAUGCAUGGAAGAUUCUCAGAAAAAUCAGAUGUCUACAGCUUCGGUGUGUUGAUAUUGGAAAUUGUCAGUGGAAGGAAGAACUCUAGUUUUUAUGAUGAUGAAGAUGAACUGACUCUACUUGCAUAUGCAUGGAAGUUGUGGAAUGAAAACAAUAUCAUAAAAUUGAUAGACCCCAAAAUAUUUUAUUCAAGCUUUGAAAAACUGAUGGUGAGAUGUGUACAUAUUGGAUUAUUAUGUGUUCGAGAAUAUGCAGAAGAUAGGCCAAAUGUCACCACAGUUCUGUCAAUGCUCACUAGUGAUAUUGCUGAACUACCUACUCCUAAACAACCUGCAUUUACCGGAGGACAUGCUUCACCACAGCAAGUAUCUUCUAAAAGCCAAGGGUCCGUGGAUGCUGAUACCAUAACUGUAUUGGAACCACGAUAGGAUGCAGAGUUUUCAACAGGCAGGCAAAGAUCAUUACUUUCCUUAAAAUGGUAACAGUAGCAUAGUAUUUCUUGAAUGUGCAUAGGCUAAAACACGCUCCUUUGCAAUAACUCGCAAAACACACAAAAGAGGUAAAAGUGCACUAGCUAUGUGAUGAAUUAAUUACAGGUGAGCAAGGAGAACAUGAAACAGUUGAUCAAUUU